ACUCAUACCUGGCAGGAGAGAUACCAUGAUCAUCAAAGUGGUUUUCCCAGGGUAAUCCUCAUCCAUUGCACGUUAGGUGUGUUGAUCCCUGUGAUUUCCCCAAAUGUGAGAAAAUCAACUGCCUCAUUUAUGGUAAUGGGGGACUGUGUUUGUGGUUUUCUCUA
rnacentral:snRNA from 1 species